AGUUUCACCUGUUGGUUCUAAUGGCAAAGGAUUCAGGAAAGAUGCUUGUCAAGGGAAGUCAAACCUCGAGCGGGCAUCUCCGAUAGGCACUGAUGCUGCUCAGGCUCCUCACUCCAUCCUUACAGCAAGUGGGGUUAUUGUGGUGAUAAAGGAUAAAUAAAACGGGAGCAGACUGUGAGAAGUUAACGUGGGAAAAGGGCCUUCUGGGCUUCCGUAAGUCAUGUUCCAAGCAGCCGUAGCUGAGUCAGAGCUGGCCGUUCAAUGUGUGGCAGAAACCGGUCUCAAGAUGAGGAGAGACUGCUCCUUUUCAGUCCGCCACUGAUGAGCCUUGUGACCUGGGACAGACAACUCAUGUACCUUCUCCAGUUUAGUUUCCAGAGAUGAGGGUCCCAGGAUCUUUCCAUCAGCUUCCCAGUAUGGAAAUCAAUAGUUGCGAGAUAUUAUAGUGUUCAGUCGACUUAGUUCUCAUAUGGCAGCUGUCUUCCUUCUUAAAAGAGAAGUCUCGGGGCUGGGGGGCUCAGGACAUCUGCUUCUUAAUUAAGAUUGUGUGGAUCAAGGGAGCCCCACCCCAGCUGUCUUGAUGACAAACACCCAAAGCAGGAGCUAGUAAGGACCAACCACAUGCUCUAGAACCAGGCAUGGAGACACACACACCUGCAAUCCCUCUGCCUCUAGGAAGGCAGAGACAGGAGGAUUGUGAGUUCAAGGCCUGCGUGGACUUCAUAGUGAGACCCAACUCAAACAAGAGACAAGAGCAAAAAGAAACUGAAAACUCAGCUUCUACAGGCAAGUUCCAGCCUGGAAUUCUACCGUGACAUCACUCAAUACAGUUGGAAUGGCAUGGUCUCAGAACGGCAUCCAUAGUUUUUGGCCCCACAGCCUUGCAUAUUUUCUUUGGCCCCCACCCUGUACUUUGUCUUGAGACAUAGGAACUGAGAAUUAAUUCAGCCUCGAACCUGGUAAAGUUACCACAAUAGUAAUUGCUUAUAUAUUAAUGCACCUUGCAGACUGCAAUGUGCUCUCAUGGAUGAUCAUUGCUGGCUAAAAAUAAAAUAAAAUAAAGUGAAAUUAAGGGGGAAACGAGUAAAUGGCAUUUAGCUAUUCACACACCUCCUUUUGCUGCUGAUAAAGAAGGGGAUGAAAGGACUUCUCGAUUAACAUGGAAGCCGGAGUCCUGAAAUUCUGUUCCUGGAUAUCGAUACAAAGUCAAUGCUUUUUAAAUUAAAAAUGAGAUGCUGCUACUUAUGACUUGAUAAGUUAUAAAAUGCCUCUUUCAUCCUUCCCAGUCAAUGGUCCCAGGCUCCACUGCAAUUAAAUUUCAGAUCUUCAGCUCAUACAGAUUGUAUUGGUACCU